rnacentral:rRNA from 1 species
GACGAUGUUGAUGCCAGUGUAGACCAGACCAAAUACUGUUAUGAAAAUUUCCAUUUGUUGAACUCGUACUAUACGGUAGUUCGAUCCAGUCUAAUGCAAAACGAGAAAUGUAAAUAUGAUACGGUACUUACUGUCGUCUGCUAGUGAAGUUACAAGAACUUCUUUAGUCAGUUAACUAGCUCCUUCUCGCCUUCUCUCUAGUAUCUUUACGUGACUCUUCUCGAAGAAUAGCCUCCUUUUUCCUAGUCGACCGUCGUUUACCUUUAUUUUUGGGCGACAGAUGUAGUCUACAUCCGUCACUUGGAGGUUUACUACGUAAUCUACCCCGUUGUCACCAUUUUCUGAUGCGACUCUGUUGUUUCCUCGUCAAGUUGUGUGUUUCCGCACCACGAAUAGCCUUUUUUUCCUGGUCCUAUGACACAACAACGUUCUCCAAGUAGUCGGGAGGAACUGUUUAAGACUGCAACGUGUGCAACUUCGUCUUAAUGGGUGAAGUAGUAAUCCUCGCAGACUACAAGGGUACUGUUACUGGCUCGAUACUCCCUCGUCUCUUUGAGUGCAUCGGCUUGUAUAAUAAUCUUCUUUUUCCCACUUGAUUGCCAACUACUGUCUCUUCCUUACUUACUUUUCUAGGCUCGGUUCGCACACGUUGCGGCGUUUUCGUACAGCCAAUAACUCUUCCCGGUCAGUUCACGAGAUUCCUUCCGGUCAAUACGAUUUUCCUUUUUGUGGGGUACGUUUCUUAGGGAACGUGAGGGAGCAGGUUUGAGAUGGAGAUUUACAGGGCGUAGGUCGACAGCACGUUAUGGGGAGCCUACCCCGUGGCUUCUACUAAGUAGUCUACCGCUGUUAGGUGGCCAUCACGGUUUAAUGCCACGAUCGAGGUUACUACUGUUGUUACACAAGGCUCUGGGGGAGUACCCGCUACUUGGCUAUGGUAGGCUGAACUACCUAGUCCUCAUCAUGUACAAAGCACUGGUUCCUAGGCCAUUACUGUGUUAACUCCUACAACUACUUUGCUCGUACAGCAGACGAUAUGGAUCGCUACAACUGGGUAAUCUGAAACAGAUGUGUUUGUAGGGUCUGUGGUGAGUGCAUAACUUUGACCUGCGUUUGACGUUUGUGACGUUUCGGUUUUUCAAACACAGACUCUGACUGCCCAAGACGACAGUGUUACCUGUCUAGCUUGAAUUUGUUGGACUUGGUCAGGGUCUCGACUACUCUGAUACCAGGUCGUACCUACGUCUAAGAUAUGUAAAAACCCUCUUGUAUGCUAAGAAGUUACCCGUAAAGCGGAAGUGUUGGGAACCGCAGUCGGAGGUACUCUUGAUGUGUUUAUACUUCAGGCCCCACAUGUGUAAGGCCCGUGUGCCGUGGUAGAUGGUGUUACACGUGAGCAAGCCUGGAUCGCGGGCAGGUCUUGUAGACGUAAAUAUGAAGAUACUACUGCUGGGUUGGUAAUGAGUAGCAUUCCGCCGGUGGUUCGUCAAUCUGGACCUACAACACUCCUUCAAUCAUCUGUAUGACUUUCUUUUGGGCAUGAGUGUCGUUAAAUCCUCAAACCCACGUGUGUUCCUGUUGGAGCUACUAAUAUCCUAUCUGGAUUUGUGGCUAUUCUCCGAACUGGUUUCUUCUAUAUUAUCUGGCAACAGUAGACUCCAGCGACGUUAAACCCAACUCCCGUCGCUGGAUCGUUUUUCCAAACUGGCCUCCUAUUGUGAAACACCGUUGUUGCUUUCCGUGUUAUAAGCACACUGGAGGCCCCGUAUACUGGGCAACAGAAUAGGGGAAAAAAUAGGUUCCCCGCUUGAUCCAACCGUAGGCUUCGAUGGAUUUGUACCACAAGGAACCCUCCAACAUGAUGUAGGGGUUGACCCGGUACUACUACUACUCCUACGUACAUACAGCAUCCGUUGUUCAUAACAAUGUUUAUUAUUAUAAAUUGAGCUUCCUAAGGAGUAAAGAUAACAUGAACUAGUGUACGUCUCCCCUUAUCGUCCAACACGAGAGACAUUCUCUGAUAAUGACAAUGUACGAUAUCUGUGCCGGACGCUAGAAGUUAGGGUAUGAGACACCGCGUGCGGACGACGUCGUUACCCGCCAUCUGUACAUACACUUCUAACUCUCAACAGUCAACUCCACCAAGUCCUUCUUGAUCUGUGUCUAAGCCCGGCUGAACAUAUUUCCUCAACAACUACACUAGUGUAGGCCACUCUGCGCUCGUUCACGGCAACCCUGUUCCUAUCAAGAGGGACCUUGUAUGGGUCCGCCACUAGCACUGUACUUCUUCUCCGUAUACCUACGGUACCGUUAACAGGUGUGUAUGCCCUUCGGACUACAGAAGAACUGGUACUGAACGUUAGGUUUUACCCUUCUCUAUUGAUUACUCAACGACGGACCAGUCUGACGCGUCCUGGCUGGACUAUAACACCGAGCGCACAAGAUACCGUUUGAUCUCCGAUACUUCCUGUACAACAAGUUCUUCGUCUAGGACCCACAACAACAGCGAAUACAUAUGCAUCAUCUCAAGGUUUUUUCCCCGGAAGGGGUGCGUGUAAAAAACAACUAUUACCUCAGUCGUAUAUUCGAAUAGCAGGGUCUCGUCAUACUGGCUGAGUAUAGUCGUCUCGAGGGUCUGUUCGUAUUCAUAGGGCUUAACAUACGUUACCACCAUUUCGUAUACUACGUGCCUGGUACGCCAAGAGAGUUGGUUUCUUACAAACGUACGUUCUUUUGCCUACGUUCACGUCUAUGGGCUCCAGCAAGUUACUUUUGUGUUGUGUCCCCUUCCUGAGCAUAGGUCAAAUAGCUGCAUCUCUGCUGCCAUCUGCACGAUUCCAGGCUCCCUUCUACAACCUGUUGUCUACCCAACACGGAAUAUUGGGUAUGGAAGACGCCUACAAGUUAACGGUGUAGUUACAACUCCAGACGAGAUCGUAUUUCCGGCAGGUUAUAGAAAUGUUCAUGUAGAUGUUCCCGGUACUAUUCCGAAGAAAGUCGUAACUGGUCGGGCUGCGGCUACCCUUGUAACUACUCUAGUUCUCUGUGCAACUGCGUUCUACCCAGUGGGGAGGCCUCCGAUACACCUCCUAUAAACCGAAGGGUGAAACGCGGUUAGUGGGUGGACAGAACGUCAACGGAGAAGUGGAGGGCUUAUACGUGUCCCAACGUAAGUUACGCGUCCGACUGAACUUAUUGCAACACUGGAAGUUUUUUCGAAGUUUUAGGUACAAUUGCCUCAUAAAGUUCCGAUUGGUCCUUGUGGGAACCCGAUCUGUAUAUAACAUAUUCUUAAAAGGUUCUUCGAAGUGCACCGUCGUUGUUUUCUUCAGAACCUUCGGAGCCCAGCUCUCAAAAGUUUAUCCAGCGUAGCACAGACGGUUAGGUCGGCUCCCCCUCGCUAUGAUGGACGCACAUAACGACUUGGUACAAUGCCCGUUUUGGAGUAAGCUGCUGAACGAGUGGCACCCGCCGCACGAUACACCCUCGAAAUCUCUCCGACGACUUGCCAACCCAGAGUAGCUCCGUCUUUUGUGCGAACUGCUGACAGAAUUACUCCGACUCGUCACCCGCAACGGUACAAGAGAAUCCUCUGAGAAGCGUUGGUAGAACCACGUAACACUCGGUCCGUUGCACGCGCCAAACACCCUAUCCGUGGAGCUCGGAUACAGUCUACUGAUAGUAGCUUGUGCGUGCAGCUGGUUCCUCCACCUCGUCAACCACAACGAACUGUAAUCCCGAUACAACGUCAGGUACCCAUUUCCGCAACAACUAAAGCGAGAAGGUUAGUAGCUACUACGCAAACUGGGUUGGCUACCACUCACAUCUCUCCAAUAUCUCCUUAGUUGGCAACUCAAACCGUACCUACUGUGAUUUAACCGUAGAAGGGACUUGAACCUCGUCUCCCGACGUAUGUUACUCUAUGACCACCAACAACUUGCGCCACUACCCCCACAUAAUAAACAACUACCGGGACCUCCAUAUCCCUUCUGGAAGAAUAUGUCCCGCUACAAACGGUUCCACUCCUCGCUCCCGUUCUAACCAUAGCGAUGGCGCUGCAGCCCGCAGCGGCGAAGAUAUUACGGACCGCCGUCCUGUCGGGUGAGCUCCAAGUUCUAUGGUGACUCAACGCUACUACCACGGAGUACGUCGAAGUGGUUCGUUUCACCCUGACGGUUCGACGAAUCCUACCGGACUAACUAUUAUACCCUGCUCCGGUCGUACUGCUUCGCUGUUCGUCAACUCCGUAACCUGUUAUCGUACGCACUGUAUAACCCUUAUGCGCUGGCUGGGAAACCUCCUUUCUGACAACAAAAACCGCCCCUGAAAUCCGUCCACGAAGGCCAACAGUCUUCCCCCAGCGCCCCGGCCUAAUAACUACGUUGUGAGGCUUCAAGAGUAGACACCUUACCAUACGCCGUUGAAGCCGAGCAAUGGUUGUACUCCCGAGUAUUACUGUGAACCAAACGUCUAAUGAACGAAUCCCAGUCGUUACCGUGACUCCUACAGCUGCUAGUUCCGUUGUAUGAUGAGGGAUUUCUGUAAACAGACGGAAGAUGUCCGCUCCAACUACUGAACCUCUUCGUAUAACUGGUACACAAAGGCUCAGAUCUACUGUUGUACAGACUAAGCUUAAUGUACUGUACAGCGCGUUAGGAGAGGUGGUGUUUGCUGUUACAGCUGUUCUAUUUGUAGGCGUACUAUCUCGCAAAGGUCCCUCUACUUCAUUAUAUGGUAUCGAAACUGUCACGCCUCCUACUGGGCAUACCGAUGAUGUGAGUUCUCAAAGAAUUACCUAACUGAGGGUUACCAGAAGGAGGCGUACGUGAGUUUGAUUUCGAUUUGACGGGACAGUAUGAAGAUUCCUUGUAACUGGAUCAAUUGCCUGACACAUUACCGUGAUCCGAACAACAAUCUCCUAAACUCUCCUUGUGGUAACUACGUCUUUAGACUAACCUGUUGUGCGACCGUCCUCCCAGAAGGAAGGAGUUUAUGGAGAAACGGGUAGACUUUUACUGUACAAAGGCAAGUUCAAAUUCUCCUUCGUUAAAGGAUAUUCUAAACCGAAACGAUACUGGUAAUUGUUCCGAGUUCCCGUCUGUUAGGGAUAACAACCACAGAUGGAGGGGUUAGCUCACAAGAGAGUACCAGUUGAGAUACAACGUAACAGAGCUCGGUGGCGCUUCUCUUUGUAUUUCUAUGAGUAAGUCUUCCUCUUCGGCUUCCUCUUUAGGUUCUUCGUUUUCCUGUUAAGUUUCUUCGCUUUUUCUGGCUGACACAGGAAUGACUGGAGCUACUUCUUGUAGCAGAUGUUCCUUCAGGAAUGUCCGACUUCAGGCCAGAAUUUUGGGGCCGUCCAAAUGAUUAUAUUGAAUGAGAAGUUUACCAGUUCAAUACAACAUUAAACAAAAAAAUCAAUAUAGGAAAAUAAACCAUAAAACUAUCUACCUAGAUAUGAGGUAAAUCAACUUAAUGUUUGAUGUAAAGUUAUAAGUCGUCAGUAUAACAGUCUUAGUAAAAACAAUAUACAAAAGAUAUUACAGUGUUGACUAUUACUGUACCUGGUACCUUACUUUGAAAAC